GCAGUCGUGGCCGAGCGGUUAAGGCGAUGGUCUUGAAAACCACUGGGUUCUGCCCGCGUAGGUUCGAAUCCUACUGACUGCG